UCUUUUUGACUGGUUCUCGUUGACGAGUUAAACCUAACCUAACCUCCUUCCUCAUCCCCACCACCUGCUAGAUACUUUAAACGUACUGGAAAUCUGGAGAGAAGAAACGGAUUAAUUCGUUCGUUCAUAUCAUAACAAGCUUCGCUACUCUCCCUCGCAGCAAGAAGACAAGUAAGAAGAAAGUGGCAUGAAAUUUGGAAACUGUUGCUGAUCGCAUCAAGGAAUAAGAUCAACCGUUUUUCUUUCCGUUCAUACGAUUUAUUUGAACGCGUUGGCUAUGCAGCGUUAAGAAACGAUCAGCAGCAGCAAAAGAA